GGUAGCUAAAGAUGGUGCCUACGUCUAAGGUGGGAUCGCUAACUACGCGCACUUCCCCCAGAGUGGCAUCAUACAAGCCGCCGAAGAACAUCGCCUUAGCGACUAACAACAGAGCUCCUAAACCAAGAAUGGCCAGAUGGUGCCCUAAGAUGAAGCCCAGCUGCUUGGGAUCAUCCCA
rnacentral:antisense_RNA from 1 species